rnacentral:rRNA from 1 species
UACAGAGGUCUCAAGCGUUGUUCGGAUUCACUGGGCGUAAAGGGUGUGUAGGUGGCGCGCUAAGUCGGGUGUGAAAUUUCGGAGCUUAACUCCGAAACUGCAUUCGAUACUGGCGUGCUUGAGGACUGGAGAGGAGACUGGAAUUCAUGGUGUAGCAGUGAAAUGCGUAGAGAUCAUGAGGAAGACCAGUGGCGAAGGCGGGUCUCUGGACAGUUCCUGACACUGAGACACGAAGGCCAGGGGAGCAAACGGG